UAGUCUGCAUUUUAGUGUAUGUUGUGAGAAAACGCUGGCAACGAUCUCGCUCUCUCGGUCACUCUCUCAUAAGCUACACAUCAUAGUUUGACUCAAAAAAGACCACAUCACUGCAGAUUGAUGGUACUCACUUUGGUCACCCACUACUAUAAUGCCAGCGGUCAUGUCCUUGAUGAAUUCCUCUUCAGAACCUGUGUGCUUUGAUCAAAACAAAGGGAAGCGUUAAAAUAUGUCUUACAGUAUUAACAGUUAUCGAACUCAAAUAAAUGUGCACUUAUAAAGUAAAUAAAUUCAUUUACAAUUU